GGACUACACGGGUUUCUAAUCCCGUUCGCUCCCCUAGCUUUCGCGCCUCAGCGUCAGAAGAGGUCCAGCACGCCGCUUUCGCCACCGGCGUUCCUUCCGAUAUCAACGCAUUUCACCGCUCCACCGGAAGUUCCGCAUGCCCCUACCUCCCUCGAGCCCGCCAGUAUCGGAGGCACUUUUCCGGUUAAGCCGAAAGAUUUCACCCCCGACUGGGCGGGCCGCCUACGCGCCCUUUAAGCCCAGUGAUUCCGAACAACGUUUGCACGGUUCGUCUUACCGCGGCUGCUGGCAC
rnacentral:rRNA from 3 species